rnacentral:rRNA from 1 species
AGAUACCGUCGUAGUCCUAACUAUAAACGAUGUCAACCAAGGAUUGGAUGAAAUAACGAAAUGCGCGAACGAAGAAACAUUGUUUUGGAAUUCAAGCGUUUCACAACUACCUUGUUCAGAACUUAAAGAGAAAUCUCGAGUUUAUGGACUUCAGGGGGAGUAUGGUCACAAGGCUGAAACUUAAAGGAAUUGACGGAAGGGCACACCAGGAGUGGAGCCUGCGGCUUAAUUUGACUCAACACGGGAAAACUUACA